rnacentral:tRNA from 1 species
CCUUCGAUAGCUCAGCUGGUAGAGCGGAGGACUGUAGAGCUAUGUACGCCUAGUAAUCCUUAGGUCGCUGGUUCGAUUCCGGCUCGAAGGA